AGUGAACGCUGGCGGCGUGCUUAACACAUGCAAGUCGAACGGUAACAGGAACUAGCUUGCUAGUUUGCUGACGAGUGGCGCACGGGUGAGUAAUAUAUAGUUAAUGUACCCCAAAGACUGGGAUAGCCACUGGAAACGGUGAUUAAUACUAGAUACACCUCUUUAACAUAAGUUAGAGAGGGAAAUGUCUUUUCGCUUUGGGAUCAGACUAUAUCCUAUCAGUUAGUUGGUGAGGUAAUGGCUCACCAAGGCAAUGACGGGUAGCGGGUUUGAGAGGAUGAUCCGCCACACUGGUACUGAGACACGGACCAGACUCCUACGGGAGGCAGCAGUGAGGAAUAUUGCACAAUGGAGGAAACUCUGAUGCAGCAACGCCGCGUGGAGGAUGACGCAUUUCGGUGUGUAAACUCCUUUUAUAUGUCAAGAAAAUGACGGUAGCAUAUGAAUAAGCACCGGCUAACUCCGUGCCAGCAGCCGACGG
rnacentral:rRNA from 1 species